GACCAGAUGUGACGAGAACCAAUAAGAAACAACUUUCAGAGUCAAAGAAAGUGACAAAGUGAUAAAAGUUAGAAGCUCUGUUGUUGUUUUCACCUUUGGACACAUCUCUAAAUGACAAGAAUAGAGUUUGAUGCUGAAAUCACAGCGUUUCUUCUACACAGAGUCUCAAACGUCCUGCUUUGUUCUGAACUAAAAGAUGUUUGGUCACAGAGGCGUGAAGAAACUAGAUCAUAUUCCAAUUUAAGAAGCUGGACUCAGUAUACAGAUCCUCUGAGCCUCUGGUCGUCUGUGUUGUGCUGUUUGUCGACUCGGACACUUUGACCUGUGCAUAUACUGUGUCCUGCUGCCCUGCAUUGACCUGAACAGUGACAGAGGAUGCUUCAGGACUCUGCUGACGGAAGGUCACGUCUUCAUAGUGGAUGUCGUCUUCACUUUGUCUUGCUGCUUCUUGAGGAACGAGUUCUUCACCUGUUUGGAUCUGUGAACAAUGAACCCAGAGAGAAAUAUUAUGAGCUGGAUCCUCUUGUUCAGUUAUAAGACUGUCACUAAUUAUUCAACAUCUGUCUGUUCUUGUACACAAACACAUUGAUGGCUCCAUGUGUGCUGGUCUUGAACCAGGUGAAGUUGCUGACAGGAGGUUUGGCUCUGCUGGAGCAGGUCAGGUUCACCCACAUACCUGCCCACAGCGAACCUGAAGG